AACGAACGCUGGCGGCAUGCUUAACACAUGCAAGUUGAACGAAGGUCCGGGGCUUGCUUCGGGUACCUUAGUAGCGAACGGGUGAGUAACGCGUGGGAAUCUACCUAGAAAUGGGGAAUAACUACUGGAAACGGUAGCUAAUACCGCAUAAUCCCUUCGGGGCAAAGGCUUCGGCCGUUUUUAGAUGAGCCCGCGUUAGAUUAGAUUGUUGGUGGGGUAAUGGCCUACCAAAUCAUCUAUCUAUAGCUGGUCCGAGAGGAUGAUCAGCCACACUGGGACUGAGACACGGCCCAGGCUCCUACGGGAGGCAGCAGUGGGGAAUAUUGGACAAUGGGGGAAACCCUGAUCCAGCAAUGCCGCGUGAGUGAAGAAGGCCUUAGGGUUGUAAAACUCUUUCAGAAGUGAAGAUGAUGACUGUAACUUCAGAAGAAGCUCCGGCUAACUCCGUGCCAGCAGCCGCGGUAAUACGGAGGGAGCUAGCGUUGUUCGGAAUUACUGGGCGUAAAGGGCGUGUAGGCUGUAUGGUAAGUCAGAGGUGAAAUCCCUAAGCUUAACUUAGGAACUGCCUUUGAUACUAUCAUGCUAGAGAUCGAGAGAGGUUAGUGGAGUUCCAAGUGUAGAGGUGAAAUUCGUAGAUAUUUGGAAGAACACCAGUGGCGAAAGCGACUAACUGGCUCGUUUCUGACGCUGAGACGCGAAAGCGUGGGUAGCAAACAGGAUUAGAUACCCUGGUAGUCCACGCCGUAAACGAUGAGUGCUAGCCGUUUGAAGGUUACCUUNCAAGUGGUGCAGUUGACGCGUUAAGCACUCCGCCUGGGGAGUACGAUCGCAAGAUUAAAACUCAAAGGAAUUGACGGGGGCCCGCACAAGCGGUGGAGCAUGUGGUUUAAUUCGACGCAACGCGAAGAACCUUACCAGGUCUUGACAUCCUGACUAUAGUUAUUAGAAAUAAUUUCUUUCAGUUCGGCUGGGUCAGUGACAGGUGCUGCAUGGCUGUCGUCAGCUCGUGUCGUGAGAUGUUGGGUUAAGUCCCGCAACGAGCGCAACCCUUGUCUCCAGUUGCUACCAGGUUAUGCUGAGCACUCUGGAGAAACUGCCGGUGAUAAGCCGGAGGAAGGCGGGGAUGACGUCAAGUCCUCAUGGCCCUUAUGACCUGGGCUACACACGUGCUACAAUGGCGGUGACAACGAGCAGCGAUAGCGCAAGCUUUAGCUAAUCUCAAAAAACCGUCUCAGUUCGGAUUGGACUCUGCAACUCGAGUCCAUGAAGUUGGAAUCGCUAGUAAUCGUAGAUCAGCAUGCUGCGGUGAAUACGUUCCCGGGCCUU
rnacentral:rRNA from 1 species